CUGCGGAGGGAUCAUUACUGAGUUCUUACAAACUCCAACCCUUUGUGAACCAUACCAACUGUUGCCUCGGCGUGAGCUGCGGCUGCUUGGUAGCUACCCGGUAGUCACCUACCCGGUACCUACCCUGUAGCGUCUGCAUAUAAGCCCGCCGAAGGACCACUAAACUCUGUUUGACAGUGUAUUCUGAAUGCUUCAACUAAAUAGUUAAAACUUUCAACAACGGAUCUCUUGGUUCUGGCAUCGAUGAAGAACGCAGCGAAAUGCGAUAAGUAAUGUGAAUUGCAGAAUUCAGUGAAUCAUCGAAUCUUUGAACGCACAUUGCGCCCAUUAGUAUUCUAGUGGGCAUGCCUAUUCGAGCGUCAUUUCGACCCUGAAGCCCUAGUUGCUUCGCGUUGGGACUCUACUGGCUACCCUGUAGUUCCCUAAUGACAGUGGCGGAGUUCAGGUGUACUCUCAGCGUAGUAAUUUCUUCUCGCUUUUGCAGUAGCCUGGUCCCCAGCCGUAAAACCCCCUAUUUUCUAGUGGUGACCUCGGAUUAGG
rnacentral:rRNA from 1 species